rnacentral:rRNA from 1 species
AUGUUGGGUUAAGUCCCGUAACGAGCGCAACCCUUGUCCUUAGUUACCAGCACGUUAUGGUGGACACUCUAAGGAGACUGCCGGUGACAAACCCGGAGGAAGGUGGGAUGACGUCAAGUCAUCAUGGCCCUUACGGCCUGGGCUACACACGUGCUACAAUGGUCGGUACAAAGGGUUGCCAAGCCGCGAGGUGGAGCUAAUCCCAUAAAACCGAUCGUAGUCCGGAUCGCAGUCUGCAACUCGACUGCGUGAAGUCGGAAUCGCUAGUAAUCGUGAAUCAGAAUGUCACGGUGAAUACGUUCCCGGGCCUU